UGCAAAUGAUGUUUUUCUCACGAUGGUCUUCCAAGCUCAAUAAGCGUUGACGAAACUGCCUUUGGCAUACACUGAUGCAGCUUA